UACGUAGGUGGCAAGCGUUAUCCGGAAUUACUGGGCGUAAAGCGCACGCAGGCGGCUUUUUAAGUUUGACGUGAAAACUCCUAGCUUAACUGGGAGAGGACGUUGAAGACUGGGAGGCUUGAGGUAAUGAGAGGGGUGCGGAAUUCCCGGUGUAGUGGUGGAAUGCGUAGAGAUCGGGAGGAACACCAGUGGCGAAAGCGGCACCCUGGCAUUGACCUGACGCUCAGGUGCGAAAGCGUGGGGAGCGAAC
rnacentral:rRNA from 1 species